AAACUGAAGAGUUUGAUCCUGGCUCAGAUUGAACGCUGGCGGCAUGCCUUACACAUGCAAGUCGAACGGCAGCGCGGGGCAACCUGGCGGCGAGUGGCGAACGGGUGAGUAAUAUAUCGGAAUGUACCCUAGAGUGGGGGAUAACGUAGCGAAAGUUACGCUAAUACCGCAUACGAUCUGAGGAUGAAAGUGGGGGAUUCGCAAGAACCUCAUGCUCAUGGAGCAGCCG
rnacentral:rRNA from 1 species